rnacentral:rRNA from 1 species
GAUGAACGCUGGCGGCGUGCCUAAUACAUGCAAGUAGAACGCUGAAGGAGGAGCUUGCUCUUCUGGAUGAGUUGCGAACGGGUGAGUAACGCGUAGGUAACCUGCCUGGUAGCGGGGGAUAACUAUUGGAAACGAUAGCUAAUACCGCAUGACAACAGUUAUUGCAUGAUAACUGUUUAAAAGGGGCAACUGCUCCACUACCAGAUGGACCUGCGUUGUAUUAGCUAGUUGGUGAGGUAACGGCUCACCAAGGCGACGAUACAUAGCCGACCGGAGAGGGUGAUCGGCCACACUGGGACUGAGACACGGCACAGACUCCUACGGGAGGCAGCAGUAGGGAAUCUUCGGCAAUGGACGGAAGUCUGACCGAGCAACGCCGCGUGAGUGAAGAAGGUUUUCGGAUCGUAAAGCUCUGUUGUAAGAGAAGAACGAGUGUGAGAGUGGAAAGUUCACACUGUGACGGUAUCUUACCAGAAAGGGACGGCUAACUACGUG